CACUAUUGAAGUAAAUGAGCGAUAUGUAUAUAACUAUACAUUACGUUGUGUUCUUAUUUUGGGUACAAGGAUUGCCACACAUAGGAAAGGUGACUCAAAAUAAGCGCGCGGGGAUGCGACGGUGCAAUCGCUAUACCUAACAUCUUUUCCGAAACAAAUGGGCACAAAGUGCAUAGGGUGUGGGCAUCUCCGACAAAGAGUAUCGAGGCGAUACGAAGCGCAGCGGCAGGACGACUGGGUACGAGCAGUGUGUAAGGCGUUGGAGAGAGAUAAGUACGAGGAUUUCUUCAUCAAACAAGGGAUUGCAUAAGGAUUCGGUAAAGGAUUGACUAGUUGUGCUGUCGCUAAUGGAAACCGAUAUAAUCAAGAUGACACAUAAACAAAGGCAUUUUUAGGUUAAGAAAACGCAGGAAGCAAUAAAAAAUCGUUUUAUAUUCCGAA